rnacentral:lncRNA from 1 species
GCCCAUCCCUCCACCCCGUGUCAUCGAUGGCCAGCCAGCGUAUACGAUGAGACGCCUCCUGAGGGUUCGACCACGGGGCAGGGGUUUCCAGUACCUGGUUGACUGGGAGGGUUAUGGCCCGGAGGAGGGGAAGUGCUGGGUUCCUGCUGAAGACAUCCUGGACCCGGCCGAUUUUCGCCGGUGUCAGCCAGAUUACUGAGGCUCCCUGCUCCAGAUUACUGAGGCUCCAGACUACUGGAGGCUCCCAGCUCCAGAUUAGUGAGGCUCCAGAUUACCGAGGCUCGCCACUCCAGAUUACAGAGGCUCCCCACUCCAGAUUACCAAGGCUCCCCACUCCAGAUUACCAAGGCUCCCCACUCCAGAUUACAGAGGCUCCCCGCUCCAGAUUACCAAGGCUCCCCGCUCCAGAUUACAGAGGCU